UACGUAGGUGGCAAGCGUUGUCCGGAUUUACUGGGCGUAAAGAGCGCGCAGGCGGUCGUGCAAGUCGCGUGUGAAAGCCCCCGGCUCAACUGGGGAGGGUCACGCGAUACUGCUCGACUCGAAGGUAGGAGAGGGAAGUGGAAUUCCCGGUGUAGUGGUGAAAUGCGUAGAUAUCGGGAGGAACACCAGUGGCGAAGGCGACUUCCUGGCCUGUUCUUGACGCUGAGGCGCGAAAGCUAGGGUAGCAAACGGG
rnacentral:rRNA from 1 species